rnacentral:rRNA from 1 species
AUGAAGCUCUUCGUGCUCGUAGCAUGGGCACUGUUGUUAUUGUCUCAUGGAUCUGGAAGCGUCAUUUGCGCCGUCCUCCAUGGGAACGAUACAGAUAUGCUGUCGCUUCUUGAUUUCAAGCGCGCAAUCACCGAAGAUCCGAAAGGGCUCUUGAGCACAUGGAACACCAGCAUUCAUUUCUGCAACUGGCAGGGUGUGAAGUGCAGCCUCACAGAGCAUGAGCGUGUUGCAGAGCUGGACCUGUCUGAGCAGAGUUUUGUCGGGGAAAUCUCUCCUUCCCUUGGAAACAUGUCAUAUCUUACUUAUCUUAACCUUUCCAGAAGCAAGUUCUCUGGUCAGAUACCACAUUUUGGCCGGCUGCGAGAGCUGGAGUUUCUUGACCUGAGUCACAACUCGCUACAAGGGAUUAUUCCAGUGACGCUCACAAACUGCUCCAACUUGAGGGCGUUAGACCUCUCAAGAAACUUAUUGGUGGGUGAAAUUCCCGCAGAAAUAUCCCUUCUCUCCAACCUGACACGCUUGUGGCUUUCUUAUAAUGAUCUUACCGGGGUCAUUCCACCAGGCCUUGGCAAUAUCACUUCUCUAGAACAUGUUAUUCUGAUGUAUAACCGGUUAGAGGGAGGCAUUCCUGAUGAGUUUGGGAAGUUGUCCAAGAUGUCAAACUUACUCCUUGGUGAAAACAAGCUAUCAGGUAGAGUCCCAAAGGCCAUUUUUAAUCUGUCUCUGCUAAAUCAAAUGGCGCUGGAGUUGAAUAUGCUAGUUGGUACUCUACCAUCUAACAUGGGUGAUGCUCUCCCUAACCUCCGACUUCUUACAUUGGGUGGUAACAUGCUGGAAGGUCUUAUCCCUGACUCAUUAGGCAAUGCAUCCGAGCUACAGCUGAUAAACUUAGCAUAUAAUCACGGGUUUAGAGGACGAGUCCCACCUUCUCUUGGUAAACUUCCGAAGCUCAGUAAGCUAGGUCUUGACACAAACAGUCUUGAAGCAAAUGACAGCUGGGGCUGGGAAUUCUUGGAUGCAUUGAGCAACUGCACUUCUCUAGAGAUGCUUUCACUCUAUGCAAAUCGGCUACAAGGAAACUUGCCAAAUUCUGUUGGCAACCUUUCGUCUAAUGUUAACAACCUCGUGUUUGGUAGGAAUAUGCUAUAUGGAUUAGUUCCGUCAAGCAUAGGAAAUCUCCAUAGACUAACUAAGCUAGGACUGGAGGAGAACAGUUUGACUGGUCCGAUUGAUGGAUGGGUUGGAAAUCUUGCUAAUUUGCAAGGUUUAUAUCUUCAACAGAACAAUUUCACCGGGCAGAUUCCAACUUCCAUUGGCAAUAACUCCAAGCUGUCAGAACUGUUUCUGGCAAAUAAUCAAUUCCACGGUCCCAUUCCAUCAAGUUUCGAAAACCUUCAGCAACUCUUGUAUUUAGACCUCAGCUAUAACAAUCUUCAAGAAAAUAUACCAAAAGAGCUUUUUAGUAUAGCCACAAUUGCCCAAUGUGCGCUAUCCCACAACAGUCUAGAAGGCCAAAUUCCUCACAUCAGUAAUCUUCAACAACUCAACUAUCUAGAUCUUUCAUCCAACAAGCUUACAGGGGAAAUUCCACCUACUUUGCGCACAUGCCAGCAAUCGCAAGCCAUCAAAUUGGACCGGAACUUCCUCUCGGGAAGCAUUCCCAUGUUUCUAGGGAGUCUGAACAGCUUGAUCGAGCUCAACCUUUCACAUAACAAUCUCUCAGGCUCUAUCCCAAUUGCUCUAAGCAAACUGCAACUUCUCACCCAGUUGGAUCUAUCCGACAAUCAUCUUGAAGGAGAAGUACCAGUAGAAGGAAUAUUCAAAAAUACAACAGCCAUUUCCCUGAAAGGCAAUUGGCGGCUUUGUGGAGGUGUGCUGGACCUACAUAUGCCUUCAUGCCCCGCUGCUUCUCAUAGAAGAUCUAGAUGGCAAUACUAUUUGGUGAGAGUAUUGGUCCCUAUAUUAGGCAUCUUGUUACUCAUAUUAGUAGUCUGCUUAUCCCUUCUCAGAAAGAGGAUGCUGAGGAUGCAGUUAUCGUUGCCUUCUUCCGAUGAGCAAUUCCCUAAAGUAUCUUAUAAGGAUCUACCACAGGCUACUGAGAACUUCACAGUAUAUAACUUGAUUGGGAGAGGAAGCUGCGGUUCAGUGUACAGAGCAAAGCUAAACCAAAAACAGAUGGUUGUGGCAGUGAAAGUUUUUGACCUUGACAUGCAAGGCGCGGAUAAAAGUUUCAUCUCAGAAUGUAAAGCACUGAGAAACAUUCGGCACCGUAAUCUUCUUCCAAUUCUGACUGCAUGCUCAACAAUUGAUAACCAAGGCCGGGAUUUCAAAGCUCUAGUCUACCAGUUCAUGCCCAACGGCAACCUGGACACUUGGCUGCACCCGGCAGGAGAUGGAAAAGCCCCAAAGCAACUGGACCUCUCUCAAAGAAUGAAAAUAGCUGUUGAUAUAGCCGAUGCAUUGCAAUAUAUACACCAUGACUGUGAGAAUCCUAUUGUUCACUGUGAUUUGAAGCCCAGCAAUAUCCUCCUAGAUUAUGAUAUGACAGCUCGUUUGGGGGACUUUGGCAUCGCAAGGUUGUACAUCAAAUCCAAAUCAGCGGCAGCUGGAGGUUCGAGUUCAAUGGGUACAAUAACUCUGAGGGGCACGAUUGGAUAUAUUGCUCCAGAGUAUGCGGGAGGUGGCUACCUAUCGACGUCUGGAGACGCGUACAGUUUUGGGAUAGUGCUGCUGGAGAUGCUGACAGGAAGAAGGCCGACCGACCCUAUGUUCUGCGAGGGGCUUGACAUCGUGAACUUUGUCAAGAGGAACUUUCCGGAUCAGAUACUUGAUAUCCUUGACGCUUCUCUCCGAGAAGAAUGUCAAGACUGUUCUCAGGAUAAUCUGGAAGGAGAAAACGAAGUCCACCGGUGCCUGCUGUCCUUGCUGAAAGUGGCACUUUCUUGCGCAAGCCAGGAUCCUAACGAACGAAUGAACAUGAGAGAAGCAGCUACUGAAUUGCACGCGAUCGACACAUUGUAUGUGUCUUGA